rnacentral:rRNA from 1 species
GAUGAACGCUGGCGGCGUGCUUAACACAUGCAAGUCGAACGAUGAAGCCCAGCUUGCUGGGUGGAUUAGUGGUGAACGGGUGAGUAACACGUGAGUAACCUGCCCUUGACUCUAGGAUAAGCCCGGGAAACUGGGUCUAAUACUGGAUAGGAACGUCUUCCGCAUGGUGGGUGUUGGAAAGAAUUUCGGUCAUGGAUGGACUCGCGGCCUAUCAGCUUGUUGGUGAGGUAAUGGCUCACCAAGGCGACGACGGGUAGCCGGCCUGAGAGGGUGACCGGCCACACUGGGACUGAGACACGGCCCAGACUCCUACGGGAGGCAGCAGUGGGGAAUAUUGCACAAUGGGCGAAAGCCUGAUGCAGCGACGCCGCGUGAGGGAUGACGGCCUUCGGGUUGUAAACCUCUUUCAGUAGGGAAGAAGCGAAAGUGACGGUACCUGCAGAAGAAGCACCGGCUAACUACGUG